CUGGAGGAAAGUGUGGGAUUAAGAAAUAGUUUUUUGGGAGAAAUAAAAUCAUGUUAUAAUGGGGAGGGAAUUGUCCAGUAGAGAGGAAACAUUUGAUGAUGGAGGAGCAAGAGGGGGCACUUGCUAGAGUGAGAUCCCUGAGUAGGUGAGAAAGGGCGUGUCCAGGGCACAAGGGAGGGACUGGCUUUGGGUCAAAGCACAGAUGGUUCGUUUACGUUAAUGGGACAGAGAGCAGAAGUGUGAGUCCGGAUUCAAGAAGAUAGGCAGAAGUUAUGUUGGGAGGGUAUAGAAAUUCUCUUCUGAUUAAUUCUCUUUUUUUGGCAAGAUAGGAAGUGGAUUCAUCAACAGAAAUUGAGGAUAAAGACCAUGGUGUUGCAGUCAGUCUAGUUCCAAUCAUAAUGGUCUCUAGUCACAAGUAAACAGCCAUACCAAUCCAAACUAGCUGAAUCUGAGGUUUCAAGAGAGGGGUUGCUAUGAACGCAAAUUCCCCCUGCCCCAAAUAUAUAUGAUGAAGCCCUAACACCCAACGUGGUGGCAUUUGGAGAGAAGGGCUUUGGGAGGUAAUUAGAUUUAGGUGAGGGCGUGAGGGUGGGGCUUUUGUGAUGAGAUUAGUGCCCUUAUGAGAGGAAACACCAGAGAGCUUGCUCUCAAUUUCUCUCUGCCAAGUGAUGACACAGGGAGAAGGUGGCCAUCUGCAAGCCGGGAAGAGGGCUCUCACCAGAACUACACCAUUGUAGGCGCCCUGAUCUUGGACUUUCCAGCCUCCAGCACUGAGAAGGAGAUUUGGAGACACAGACACCCAGGGAAGAAGGCCAUGUGGAGACACAGGCAGAGACUGGAGUUAUGAUGCCACAAGCCAAGGAGCACCAAGAAUUGCCAUCAACUACCAGAAGCUAGAAGAGCACAAAGGAAGUAGGUGAGAGCAAAGCUGUAUUGGAGUAAAGAAGAGACACCAGAUGGUAACUCGAAUCCACAGGAACAAAUGAAGAGGAUCAGAAAUGAAGGGGGAAAUUUGGACACAGACCUGCACACGGGGAGAAGGUGAUGUGACUUGAAGACUGGAGCCAAGCAACUAACUACCAGAAGCAAGGAGACGGACUUGGACCUGAUCCUUCCCCAGCGCCUUCAGAGGGAAUGCAGCCCUGCCGACACCUUGACCACGGACUUCUAGCUUCCAGAACUGAGAGACAAUAAGCUUUUGUUGUUUAAGCCACUUGGUUUGUGAGUACCUUGUUAUGGCAGCCCUCGCAAACUAAUACACUCAUAAUGCUAUUUCCAAGUCAUAACAACUGUUAAUUUUUUAGUUUAUCUUCUUCCAGUUUCAUAUCUAUAAAUC
rnacentral:lncRNA from 1 species